CCGAACUACUCCAUCCCGACCGUCCACUUCUGCCUACCAGACAAUAAAUACCUCUCAACCGCAUAUCCUCCUACCAGACCAAGAGGAAACCUAGCCGCGUUCUCCUCUGCGGCACGCAACCUUUGUCCCCUCUAGAUAUAGAACAACACGCCUCGUCCACCCAUACCUCUAGAAGUCUAGAUCUAGGCCUGACCUGUAGUUUCCUGAUCGUGUUCGCCUCGAUCUCGGGGUAAGCUCAGUUCGGCGUCCAUGAUUUGUUCCCAUCACCCGUUUGUUAUCUGAAUCCCAGGUUUCUCCUUCUGAUCGGCGAGUUGGGGCUUGCGGCGAUCUUGGAGAAAAGACGGGAGGCAAGCUGCAUCUGCGCACGGAAGCUUCCGAUCUGCCCGGCUGGCGUCUCAGAUCUGUUGCUGAUCUGAUGCUUCACGGCGGAUCUGGUUGUUCCCGGCGGUCUCAAGUCGGCGCAGCGGCUGGCGGCGAGUUUUCCGGCAAGCACGUGGGAUCCCGUCUGCUCCUCUACCUCGUGCGACGACGGCCAACGGCUCUUUGUGUUGAUAAUAAUUAUUCGAUGAUAUGUCGAUAAUUAUUAGAUCUAAGAGAUCGGAGGUGACGUAAGGUAAGAGCAUGUAACAAGCGAGGUGCUUGUGGAGAGGGCGGAGAAGAUUGAGAAAAAGGAGAUGUGAACAUCUAGAGGCCUUUGCCAUGUUGGGUGCGCUCGCAUGGCAGGCCGCCACCAUAAUAAAGAUGUUUUUUUGUCUCGGGGGGAGAUCGCACGGGGGUUAUCUUGUUUUAGCCCCGGGUUCUCCCCCCUGUGUGUUGGUGUGCUCUUUUGUCUGCACCUCUCGUCCGAUCCGACUACAUGGCACAACAAUUCUACCGUCGCGAAUCGAUCAUGGAGCAACCGACGAAAGACCAAAGGUACAAUCGAUAAUUUACAUACAGCUGAACCAUACAUAAUCAUUGACACAUCACAAAUUUUAUUACGUACAAGGAUUAUCUUGAAUCCAUAUAAGUAACUUUGGUAGAUAGAGAUUGUAUGACACCACAAAUUUGCAACACCUACAGCAGUCCAGCCUAAACAAAUUGCAUGGCGGAUUUACAUAUUGUUGUAACAAUUCGAGUAUAUUUGGAUUCUUCAGUCAGAAGUUGUGUUUAUUUGUAUGAUAUUUUGUACUAAAUCUAAUUUUAAUUCUCUCUAUAUAAGGAUUUCUUUAAUAAGAAAUACAUAUUAGACCCUUUUCUGUGGUCUCAUGCUUCAUACUGUAAGCUGUCUUACAUGUAGCUUGAACAGCUGUAUGUGGGGUCUUUGUAUUACCCAAAAUGAAGCCUACAGCUAUCCGCCGGUGAACACAUCUUUCUCGUUGGAGCUUGAAGAGACGUGAGUGCUCUAUGGUUCUGGAGAAAUCUGCUGAACACAUCUUACCUCAAGGAAUUACCCGCUCGGAGGCCGGUUAAAAUGCACUCAGCCUACUAAUCUGGAUAAUCAUUUAUUAGAGCGCUAUUUUAACCAGUUUUGCUUUACAUAUUAUGGUGAACAGUACAUCCAUUUGUAUCAGUUGGUUAAACAUAAUUAGAUAUUAUAUUUGUGGAUAUUCUCUAUAUUGUAUGAUCGGAAC
rnacentral:rRNA from 1 species